rnacentral:snRNA from 1 species
GUGCUUGCUUCGGUAGCACAUAUACUAAAAUUGGAAUGAUACAGAGAAGAUGAGCAUGGCUCCUGCACAAGGAUGACACACAAAUUCGUGAAGCGUUCCAUAUUUUU